rnacentral:rRNA from 1 species
GUGUCAGCCGCCGCGGUAAUACGUAGGUGGCGAGCGUUGUCCGGAAUUACUGGGUGUAAAGGGCGUGUAGGCGGGAAGACAAGUCAGAUGUGAAAUACCGUGGCUUAACCACGGGGCUGCAUCUGAAACUGUUUUUCUUGAGUGUCGGAGAGGAAAGUGGAAUUCCCAGUGUAGCGGUGAAAUGCGUAGAUAUUGGGAGGAACACCAGUGGCGAAGGCGACUUUCUGGACGAUAACUGACGCUGAGGCGCGAAAGCGUGGGGAGCAAACAGGAUUAGAUACCCUGGUAGUCCACGCUGUAAACGAUGGAUACUAGGUGUGGGAGGUAUCGACCCCUUCCGUGCCGCAGUUAACACAAUAAGUAUCCCACCUGGGGAGUACGGCCGCAAGGUUGAA